UGCCAGCAGCCGCGGUAAUACGUAGGGUGCAAGCGUUAAUCGGAAUUACUGGGCGUAAAGCGUGCGCAGGCGGUUUGCUAAGACAGGUGUGAAAUCCCCGGGCUCAACCCGGGAACUGCAUCUGUGACUAGCAGACUAGAGUUUGGCAGAGGGGGGUGGAAUUCCUGGUGUAGCAGUGAAAUGCGUAGAUAUCAGGAGGAACACCGAUGGCGAAGGCAGCCCCCUGGGCCACCACUGACGCUCAUGCACGAAAGCGUGGGGAGCAAACAGGAUUAGAUA
rnacentral:rRNA from 1 species